rnacentral:lncRNA from 1 species
CAGAUUAUAAUGAAAAGUGAUUUGUGUGCCUGGCACAUAAAACCCCUCAUGGGCUCCUCCAGUUUCUUUCUAUGUCUUCCAGUGGAUACUGAUGAUCAUAAGGCUUUAAGGGAUAAUGGAACCACAGUGUGGAAUGGGUCCCUGAAUGACCACAUGCAGAAGAACCAACCCAACCUGAAGACACUCCUGGAACUAUUAAAAUUGAGAGAUUGAUUGAAGAAGAAGUAACAAGUUCUAAAAAAUGAGACAAUCAGGAGGUGAUGUGAGGAAGAGAUGGUAACUGGAAGUAUGAUGGCCAUGCUGAAAAUGUUGACUGUCACAAGGAGAAAGAUCCCAUUUUAUUUCCAUGAUUCCCUUGGAGCAACUCCAAGAUCACCAAGAUUUCUGCCUUAAAUGUAUUCUUAUAUCAAGUCUCACUUAAAAUUUAUUGUGUGUAUGUGUGCAAUUAAUUGCAAGGAUCUUUAGAGAACAGACUCCUUUGUCACUAGUCCCUAGGCACUGUGACAAAGAGAAUAUUAAAAGACUCAAACUGGCCAAGAUCCAGCACAAAGUAGACAGACUAAAAAGAUAAGGCAGGUAGUUAAUCUUCUGGAAGGUGCUGCAGGUAAAGACAGGUUUGUUUGCCCAGCUUGCUGUCUCAACUCUACUUUUGUUUGAUUUGUUAUCUUACCCAGUGGGAAAUCUAUGUCUUGACAUUCAAUCACAAAGCAUAGAAGGCCUCAGACACUAAAUAAGGUUAGGCAACGAGAGAAAAACCCUUUAGUCAAACUUUGUGCGAGAACUGAAAUCUGGGAAAAAUUUGGCCCCAUGUGUAAAUGACUCUAAGUAUAUUUAUUAUGACUUGAGGAAAGGAAACACCAAUGAAUUGGCAAUGAACCUUAUUACAAAUCAAUCUUUUUUAUCAUCUUUCAAUAACUCCAGAGAGAUAGCAAGAAAAUUGCACUUAUUGCAAAAAAUUAUAUUAUAUAUAUUACCAUAAAGAUGAUAUCGCAACUGCCAAAAACAUGAAGUGCUACCAGGCAGAUAGCAUAGAUACUACAGAAUUCUCAACUGAUUGAAUGUUUUACAUUAUGUGCAUUUACUUAGGUUGGUAUAAAUAAAUGUGGUAUUUUAAUAGAAUUAAUAUUACAUCAGCUUGCAGGCAAGCAUGAAUAUUUUUAUCAUCUUCUAAACUGCAGCCUACAUGAUUGGUAUAAUGGCAUGAUUUCCUUGAAAAAUAUACAUGAGAAAGAAAUUUAUAUGUUGUGUAGCAGAUAUUGUGGGGUUUUUCCUGACAUCUGUUUUUCUGCCCACUAUUUUUUAAAAUGCACUUUAGGGGAUUAAUCUAAGUCAGAAUAAUCCUAUGGGCUUUGAUAAAAUGUUUGGUUUAGGUUGCAGAGGCAUGGAAAAUAUUCUGAACAUAGGUACAGAUUGCAAAAUGGAUAAAUAACUAACUCCAAGACAUGAAGACCCAAACAGUGGUUUCCUGGGUACUUCUAGAAGGGAUGCUUACUUUUUCUUAUAAGGGUUGAAGCAACUCUCUUUCUCUCAGCAUCGUGGUGUAUGGUUGGAAAGCCACAGGGAAAGAGCUAAGGAUGAAAAGCAAAACUAAAGGAGAGAACAAUCAAAGGAUCACAUACACAUACAAAAAAAAUUGAACUAAGGCCAUUUAAUUUUGCUUACUUUAAAGCUUGACCACCAUUCAGACUUACAAUAAUGUGAAUAAAUAAUUCUGCCACUGCAGCCAAUCUUUCUUAUAUACAUGCUUAAUAGAUAGCUACUUAAAAUAACUUACACACGUUUUAGAGUUGCUUGAAAACUAUCUGAUCAAGACAUAGUAAUUGAAACCAAUGAAUACAUUAUAUAAAGUAAAGGAAAGGAGAAGAGAGGAAAGGAGGGGAGAGGAGAGGAGGACAAGCGAGAAAGGAAGGAAGGAGAAAAGGGGAAGGGAGGUAGAGAGAGAGAGAAAAGUGCUGGGUCAUAUAGUAAGUGUACAUUUAACUUUUUAAGAAACUACCCUACUCUAUUCCAGAGUGAUUGUACCAUGUUGCAUUUUUACUGGCAAUUUAUAAGAGAUUCAUUUUCUCUACAGCAUUGGGUACUAUCAGUUUUUUUUGUUUUGUUUUGUUUGGUCUUGAGACGGAGUCUCGCUCUGUCACCCAGGCUGGAGUGCAGUGGCGAAAUCUCAGCUCACUGCAAGCUCUGCUUCCUGGGUUCACGCCAUUCUCCUGCCUCAGCCUCCCGAGUAGCUGGAACUACAGGCACCUGCCACCACCCCCAGCUAAUUUUUUUUUUUUUUUUUUUUUUUUUUUGUAUUUUUAGUAGAGACGGGGUUUCGCCAGGCUUAGCCAGGAUGGUCUCGAUCUCCUGAACUCGUGAUCCACCCGCCUCGGCCUCCCAAAGUGCUGGGAUUACAGGCGUGAGCCACCACACCCGGCCCUAUCAGUGGUUUUUAAAAUUUUAUUUUAGCUAUUCUGAUUAGUGAGUAAUAAUAUAUUUAAGUGGUUUUUAAUUUGCAUACUCCUAAAGACAAGCAAUGUUGGAUAUCUUUUCACAUGUUUAUUCGCCAUCCAUAUAUCUUUUUUGAUGAAGUGUCUGCACAACUAUUGCUCAUUUUCUAAUUAGACUGUUUUCUUACUGUUGAGAGUAAAAGUCAAGGAAAGAAGCAAAAUUAGAGAAACCAACGAGGUAAGUGAAAUAUAAGAAAUUAUAGAGACAGGAAGUGAAAUAAGCUAAGAUUUUCCCGCUCUUAUCUAAAGGGAGAAAUAAAACUAAUAACUGCUAACGCUUACAAUUAGAUUCAUCUCUCCAGGUACCGCUUUAAAUAGUCUCUACCAGCAGUUCUUUUUUUUUUUUUUUUUUUUUUUUUAGACGGAGUCCCAUACUGUCACCCGGGCUGGAGUGCAAUGGCGCGAUCUCAGUUCAAUGCAACCUCCGCCUCCCAGGUUCAUGCAACUCUCCUGCCUCAGCCUCCUGAGUAGCUGGGCUUACAGGUGCACACCACUACACCCAGCUAACUUUUUGUAUUUUUAGUAGAGACAGGGUUUCACUAUGUUGGCUAGACUGGUCUUGAACUUCUGACCUUGUGAUUUGCCCUUCUCAGCCUCCGAAAGUGCUGGGAUUACAGGCGUGAUAUCGGCAGUUCUUAAACUGUGGCUGAGGUAACCUUGGAAAAUCCCCAAGACUCUCUUUGAGAAGUGGAAGUUCAAAUCAAUUUCUAUAAUAAUAAUAUCAUUUGACUUUUACUCUUACAUGAGUAAAUAACUCAUUCAACAACUCUCAAUAAAUUAGGGAUUGAUGCUAAAAACUCUCAAUAAAUUAGGGAUUGAUGGGAUGUAUCUCAAAAUAAUAAGAGCUAUCUAUGACAAACCCACAGCCAAUAUACUGAAUGGGCAAAAACUGGAAGCAUUCCCUUU